UCUUUUGUUGCGAGCACAGUUGGUAGCCUCACGUUUCAGUACAGACCUGCAACAAUUAAUACAUGAGAUCCACUCCUGAGAAAGCACUUUCUACUUGUCUGGACUGAAUAUCGGUUUGGUUGGAAAGAUGAAGCCCCGACUACCCCAGAGCAUCUCUGAGAUUUUGUUCUGUUCUAUUGUUUCAGAGCAAGGAAAGAGGGCAGAGGGGCUUCUCCCAGGAGGAGCUGGAGACGUGCAUGAUUAACCAGGUGAGUGCAGCUGGGCUUGCACCACGUACAUCUGGGGAAG
rnacentral:lncRNA from 1 species